CCUACGGGAGGCAGCAGUGGGGAAUAUUGCACAAUGGGGGAAACCCUGAUGCAGCGACGCCGCGUGAAGGAAGAAGUAUUUCGGUAUGUAAACUUCUAUCAGCAGGGAAGAACAUGACGGUACCUGACUAAGAAGCCCCGGCUAACUACGUGCCAGCAGCCGCGGUAAUACGUAGGGGGCAAGCGUUAUCCGGAUUUACUGGGUGUAAAGGGAGCGUAGGCGGGUAUGCAAGUCAGAAGUGAAAGCCCGGGGGUCAACACCGGGACUGCUUUUGAAACUGUGUUGCUAGAUUGCAGGAGAGGUAAGUGGAAUUCCUAGUGUAGCGGUGAAAUGCGUAGAUAUUAGGAAGAACACCAGUGGCGAAGGCAGCUUACUGGACUGUAAAUGACGCUGAGGCUCGAAAGCGUGGGGAGCAAACAGGAUUAGAUACCCUGGUAGUC
rnacentral:rRNA from 1 species